rnacentral:rRNA from 1 species
GAGGGUUUGAUCCUGGCUCAGAUUGAACGCUGGCGGCAGGCCUAACACAUGCAAGUCGAGCGGAUGACGGGAGCUUGCUCCUUGAUUCAGCGGCGGACGGGUGAGUAAUGCCUAGGAAUCUGCCUGGUAGUGGGGGACAACGUUUCGAAAGGAACGCUAAUACCGCAUACGUCCUACGGGAGAAAGCAGGGGACCUUCGGGCCUUGCGCUAUCAGAUGAGCCUAGGUCGGAUUAGCUAGUUGGUGGGGUAAUGGCUCACCAAGGCGACGAUCCGUAACUGGUCUGAGAGGAUGAUCAGUCACACUGGAACUGAGACACGGUCCAGACUCCUACGGGAGGCAGCAGUGGGGGAAUAUUGGACAAUGGGCGAAAGCCCUGAUCCAGCCAUGCCGCGUGUGUGAAGA